AAAUGUCAUGAGUCUUAAAACUUCUAGAAUUUAGAGGAGUUUUUGCUGACAGUCAUAGAGUGUGCACAACUUUGAGAGAUUGGGGAAGUGUUUCUGCUUUUUCAUGUUUUGGUAGUUUUGUGGAAAAUAUCACAUACUGGUCACAUUAUAAUCUACAUAAAGAACACAAGAGACAUAGACAGUUUCAGAGUUUUUACUUUGAAAUCAUAGAGCUGCAUAUGAAGAGAUACUGGUUAAAUGUA